rnacentral:rRNA from 1 species
UCAGAGGGAGNUAGAAUUCCACGUGUAGCAGUGAAAUGCGUAGAGAUGUGGAGGAAUACCGAUGGCGAAGGCAGCCUCCUGGGAUAACACUGACGUUCAUGCUCGAAAGCGUGGGUAGCAAACAGGAUUAGAUACCCUGGUAGUCCACGCCCUAAACGAUGUCAAUUAGCUGUUGGGCAACUUGAUUGCUUAGUAGCGUAGCUAACGCGUGAAAUUGACCGCCUGGGGAGUACGGUCGCAAGAUUAAAACUCAAAGGAAUUGACGGGGACCCGCACAAGCGGUGGAUGAUGUGGAUUAAUUCGAUGCAACGCGAAGAACCUUACCUGGUCUUGACAUGUACGGAAUCCUCCAGAGACGGAGGAGUGCCUUCGGGAGCCGUAACACAGGUGCUGCAUGGCUGUCGUCAGCUCGUGUCGUGAGAUGUUGGGUUAAGUCCCGCAACGAGCGCAACCCUUGUCAUUAGUUGCCAUCAUUUAGUUGGGCACUCUAAUGAGACUGCCGGUGACAAGCCGGAGGAAGGUGGGGAUGACGUCAAGUCCUCAUGGCCCUUAAGACCAGGGCUUCACACGUCAUACAAUGGUCGGUACAGAGGGUAGCCAAGCCGCGAGGUGGAGCCAAUCUCACAAAACCGAUCGUAGUCCGGGUUGCACUCUGCAACUCGAGUGCAUGAAGUCGGAAUCGCUAGUAAUCGCAGGUCAGCAUACUGCGGUGAAUACGUUCCCGGGUCUUGUACACACCGCCCGUCACACCAUGGGAGUGGGGGAUACCAGAAGUAGGUAGGG